rnacentral:rRNA from 1 species
UACGUAGGGUGCAAGCGUUAAUCGGAAUUACUGGGCGUAAAGCGUGCGCAGGCGGUGAUGUAAGACAGAUGUGAAAUCCCCGGGCUCAACCUGGGAACUGCAUUUGUGACUGCAUUGCUGGAGUGCGGCAGAGGGGAUGGAAUUCCGCGUGUAGCAGUGAAAUGCGUAGAUAUGCGGAGGAACACCGAUGGCGAAGGCAAUCCCCUGGGCCUGCACUGACGCUCAUGCACGGAAAGCGUGGGGAGCAAACAGG